rnacentral:rRNA from 1 species
AACGAACGCUGGCGGCAGGCUUAACACAUGCAAGUCGAACGCACCGCAAGGUGAGUGGCAGACGGGUGAGUAACACGUAGGGAUCUGCCCAAUGGUACGGAAUAGCUCCGGGAAACUGGAAUUAAUACCGUAUGAGCCCGCAAGGGGAAAGAUUUAUCGCAAUUGGAUGAACCCGCGUCGGAUUAGCUAGUUGGUGUGGUAAAGGCGCACCAAGGCGACGAUCCGUAGCUGGUCUGAGAGGAUGAUCAGCCACACUGGGACUGAGACACGGCCCAGACUCCUACGGGAGGCAGCAGUGGGGAAUAUUGGACAAUGGGCGCAAGCCUGAUCCAGCCAUGCCGCGUGAGUGAUGAAGGCCUUAGGGUUGUAAAGCUCUUUCGCCGACGAAGAUAAUGACGGUAGUCGGAGAAGAAGCCCCGGCUAACUUCGUGCCAGCCGCCGCAGUAAAAC